GCUCACUUCCACAGGNCAUUUACUAAAAUUGGGAUGAUGCAGAGAAGAUAAACAUGACCCCUGUGCAAAAUAUCACCCAUGGAGUCAUGAAGCAUUCCAUAUUUUU
rnacentral:snRNA from 1 species